UGAAUACGAGACGCUAAGGCGUCGAAGUAGUGUAUGUCAUACUUCCAAGAAAAGCUUGCACUGUCAUAAGUAAAAAAUGCCUGUACCAUAACCGACACAGGUGGGUAGGUAGAGUAUACUAAGGGGCGCGAGAUAACUCUCUCUAAGGAACUCGGCAAAAUAACUCCGUAACUUCGGGAGAAGGAGUACCUUAUUCUAUAAGGUUGCAAUAACAAGAUCCAAGCAACUGUUUAUCAAAAACACAGGUCUCCGCUAAGUCGUAAGACGAUGUAUGGGGGCUGACGCCUGCCCAGUGCCAGAAGGUUAAAGAAGUCGGUUAGCAUUAGCGAAGCUGGUAACUGAAGCCCUGGUGAACGGCGGCCGUAACAAUAACGGUCCUAAGGUAGCGAAAUUCCUUGUCGGGUAAGUUCCGACCCGCACGAAAGGCGUAAUGAUUUGGAUACUGUCUCGGAGAGGGGCUCGGUGAAAUAGACUUGUCUGUGAAGAUGCGGACUACCUGCACCAGGACAGAAAGACCCUAUGAAGCUUUACUGUAACUUGAAAUUGAAAUUGGACUUUAUUCGCGCAGUAUAGGUGGGAGGUGUUGAUUAUAAUCUUGCGGGAUUAUUGGAGCCAUCAGUGAGAUACCACUCUUGUAAUGUUAGAUUUCUAACUUUGAAUCAUUAUCUGGUCAAAGGACAGUUUCAGGCGGGCAGUUUGACUGGGGCGGUCGCCUCCCAAACGGUAACGGAGGCGUACAAAGGUUUCCUCUGAACGGGUAGAAAUCGUAUCUAGAGUGUAAAGGCAUAAGGAAGCUUGACUGUGAGACCUACAAGUCGAACAGGGACGAAGGUCGGUCUUAGUGAUCUGACGGUACUGAGUGGAAAGGCCGUCACUCAACGGAUAAAAGUUACUCUAGGAUAACAGGCUGAUCUCCCCCAAGAGUUCACAUCGACGGGGAGGUUUGGCACCUCGAUGUCGGCUCAUCGCAUCCUGGGGCGGUAGUACGUCCCAAGGGUUGGGCUGUUCGCCCAUGAAAGCGGUACGCGAGCUGGGUUCAGAACGUCGUGAGACAGUUCGGUCCAUAUCCGGUGUAGGCGUUAGAAUAUUGAGAGGAGCCUUCUUUAGUACGAGAGGACCGAGAAGGACAUACCUCUGGUGUACCAGUUAUCGUGCCAACGGUAAACGCUGGGUAGCUAUGUAUGGAGUGGAUAACCGCUGAAAGCAUCUAAGUGGGAAGCCCACCUCAAGAUAAGUAUUCUC
rnacentral:rRNA from 1 species